GUUUGUGAAUGGGAAGUUUUGCAAGGAUCCAAAGGAAGUCAAUGCCGAUGAUUUCUUUACUUCAGGGCUCAACAUUGCAGGAAACACUGAUAAUCCAGUUGGUUCCAAAGUAAUAGCUGUUGAUACAAGUGUGACUUGUAAAAGAAUAUACAAGUUAAUAUUUUGAUUGGUUUUAAAGCAUUGGAUUGGUAGCUAAUUGCAAGAGGCGCAAUAUGGACAAAGAAUGGAUGUCAGCUGAUAGGAUGUCAGUAGAAUAUAUAAAAGGGGUCGAUGAGUUUCUUAAAUUUAGUUUGGAUCAUGCCAAAGAUCCAAACUAUAUUUGUUGUCCUUGUAGUAA